GUGCCGGUAGCACAGUGGUAGUGCACCAGCUUCCUGAAUGGGACAUCGUGGGCUCAAUCCCCACCCCGGCACU
rfam:Danio rerio chromosome 4, GRCz11 reference primary assembly.